rnacentral:lncRNA from 1 species
UCCUUUUUAUACUCCCUCCGAUCCCACGCGCGCGCGUGCGUGCUCUUGUUGUGUUCCCUCGCUCUGUGAACCAUCAGAUCUGGAUUGUUCCAAGAUCUGAUGGCUGCUAUCUUUGAUCUAACGGUCACUGUGCUUCCUGCAUUUUACACUAUCUUUUGUGCUUUUUUUUGGACCCUUGGAUCUUUGAUCCAGUGGCUGUGAUGUGAUCUUGGGAGUUAGAUCUGGACCUCUGGAUUCAUCCAGCGGACCAGAUUAAAUCCUGCUGAGCCUUUUUUUAAUUGCUUUUUAAUUGUGUUUUAAAUACUUUUUUACACUUUCUUGGCAUUUUAUGCUCCUAAAAAUUUUCUAAAAAUAUUUC